AUGUCCAUGUCGUUGGCUGAAGGCAAUUCAAGCAGUGGUGGCUCCCCAGAGUACGACGACAGCAAGAAAGGAACCCUAAAAGUUUUGUAUUCGUGGCAUGGACGAGAGGCACUUGAGCGUGUGCCUUGUGGAUUUCUUUUCAGGCCUCUGUUCGGAUGUGAAUGGUGGGACGGUGUCAUAUACAACGUAAUAUGUGCGAACACCAUGGUUAAUGGACUAUACCCCAUCGCUUUAAGUGAGCUUAUGCGGGAAACACCUCCACAACAUUUUUCUCAUUAUGAAGAAAAGGGCCAUGGAAAUAAGUUAAGACCCAAGUCCAAAAUGAGUUCUAUUGGGCUGCUGACUUUUUUUUCAUAA
rnacentral:rRNA from 1 species